AGCGAACGCUGGCGGCAGGCCUAACACAUGCAAGUCGAGCGGUAAGGCCCUUUCGGGGGUACACGAGCGGCGAACGGGUGAGUAACACGUGAGCAACCUGCCCUUCUCUUGGGAAUAAGCGUUGGAAACGACGUCUAAUGCCGAAUAUGACCCCCUGUCGCAUGGUGGGGGGUGGAAAGCUCUGGCGGAGAAGGAUGGGCUCGCGGCCUGUCAGCUUGUUGGUGUGGGUAAUGGCCCACCAAGGCGACGACGGGUAGCCGGCCUGAGAGGGUGACCGGCCACACUGGGACUGAGACACGGCCCAGACUCCUACGGGAGGCAGCAGUGGGGAAUAUUGGACAAUGGGCGAAAGCCUGAUCCAGCAACGCCGCGUGAGGGAUGACGGCCUUCGGGUUGUAAACCUCUUUCAGCAGGGACGAAGCGAGAGUGACGGUACCUGCAGAAGAAGGACCGGCCAACUACGUGCCAGCCGCCGCCGUAACAC
rnacentral:rRNA from 1 species